GGUUAAGCGACUAAGCGUACACGGUGGAUGCCCUGGCAGUCAGAGGCGAUGAAGGACGUGCUAAUCUGCGAAAAGCGUCGGUAAGGUGAUAUGAACCGUUAUAACCGGCGAUGUCCGAAUGGGGAAACCCAGUGCAAUUCGUUGCACUAUCGUUAACUGAAUACAUAGGUUAACGAGGCGAACCGGGGGAACUGAAACAUCUAAGUACCCCGAGGAAAAGAAAUCAACCGAGAUUCCCCCAGUAGCGGCGAGCGAACGGGGAGCAGCCCAGAGUCUGAAUCAGCUUGUGUGUUAGUGGAACGGUCUGGAAAGUCCGACGGUACAGGGUGAUAGUCCCGUACACCAAAAUGCACAGGUUGUGAACUCGAAGAGUAGGGCGGGACACGUGGUAUCCUGUCUGAAUAUGGGGGGACCAUCCUCCAAGGCUAAAUACUCCUGACUGACCGAUAGUGAACCAGUACCGUGAGGGAAAGGCGAAAAGAACCCCGGCGAGGGGAGUGAAAAAGAACCUGAAACCGUGUACGUACAAGCAGUGGGAGCACCUUCGGGUGUGACUGCGUACCUUUUGUAUAAUGGGUCAGCGACUUAUAUUCUGUAGCAAGGUUAACCGUAUAGGGGAGCCGCAGGGAAACCGAGUCUUAACUGGGCGUUAAGUUGCAGGGUAUAGACCCGAAACCCGGUGAUCUAGCCAUGGGCAGGUUGAAGGUUGGGUAACACUAACUGGAGGACCGAACCGACUAAUGUUGAAAAAUUAGCGGAUGACUUGUGGCUGGGGGUGAAAGGCCAAUCAAACCGGGAGAUAGCUGGUUCUCCCCGAAAGCUAUUUAGGUAGCGCCUCGUGAAUUCAUCUUCGGGGGUAGAGCACUGUUUCGGCUAGGGGGUCAUCCCGACUUACCAACCCGAUGCAAACUACGAAUACCGAAGAAUGUUAUCACGGGAGACACACGGCGGGUGCUAACGUCCGUCGUGAAGAGGGAAACAACCCAGACCGCCAGCUAAGGUCCCAAAGUCAUGGUUAAGUGGGAAACGAUGUGGGAAGGCACAGACAGCCAGGAUGUUGGCUUAGAAGCAGCCAUCAUUUAAAGAAAGCGUAAUAGCUCACUGGUCGAGUCGGCCUGCGCGGAAGAUGUAACGGGGCUAAACCAUGCACCGAAGCUGCGGCAGCGACACUAUGUGUUGUUGGGUAGGGGAGCGUUCUGUAAGCCUGCGAAGGUGUGCUGUGAGGCAUGCUGGAGGUAUCAGAAGUGCGAAUGCUGACAUAAGUAACGAUAAAGCGGGUGAAAAGCCCGCUCGCCGGAAGACCAAGGGUUCCUGUCCAACGUUAAUCGGGGCAGGGUGAGUCGACCCCUAAGGCGAGGCCGAAAGGCGUAGUCGAUGGGAAACAGGUUAAUAUUCCUGUACUUGGUGUUACUGCGAAGGGGGGACGGAGAAGGCUAUGUUAGCCGGGCGACGGUUGUCCCGGUUUAAGCAUGUAGGCUGAUUGUCCAGGCAAAUCCGGAUAAUCAAGGCUGAGGUGUGAUGACGAGGCACUACGGUGCUGAAGUAACAAAUGCCCUGCUUCCAGGAAAAGCCUCUAAGCAUCAGGUAACAUUAAAUCGUACCCCAAACCGACACAGGUGGUCAGGUAGAGAAUACCAAGGCGCUUGAGAGAACUCGGGUGAAGGAACUAGGCAAAAUGGUGCCGUAACUUCGGGAGAAGGCACGCUGGUGUGUAGGUGAAGUCCCUGCGGAUGGAGCUGAGACCAGUCGAAGAUACCAGCUGGCUGCAACUGUUUAUUAAAAACACAGCACUGUGCAAACACGAAAGUGGACGUAUACGGUGUGACGCCUGCCCGGUGCCGGAAGGUUAAUUGAUGGGGUUAUCCGUAAGGAGAAGCUCUUGAUCGAAGCCCCGGUAAACGGCGGCCGUAACUAUAACGGUCCUAAGGUAGCGAAAUUCCUUGUCGGGUAAGUUCCGACCUGCACGAAUGGCGUAAUGAUGGCCAGGCUGUCUCCACCCGAGACUCAGUGAAAUUGAACUCGCUGUGAAGAUGCAGUGUACCCGCGGCAAGACGGAAAGACCCCGUGAACCUUUACUAUAGCUUGACACUGAACAUUGAGCCUUGAUGUGUAGGAUAGGUGGGAGGCUUUGAAGCGUGGACGCCAGUCUGCGUGGAGCCAACCUUGAAAUACCACCCUUUAAUGUUUGAUGUUCUAACGUUGGCCCCUGACCGGGGUUGCGGACAGUGUCUGGUGGGUAGUUUGACUGGGGCGGUCUCCUCCCAAAGCGUAACGGAGGAGCACGAAGGUUAGCUAAUCCUGGUCGGACAUCAGGAGGUUAGUGCAAUGGCAUAAGCUAGCUUGACUGCGAGCGUGACGGCGCGAGCAGGUGCGAAAGCAGGUCAUAGUGAUCCGGUGGUUCUGAAUGGAAGGGCCAUCGCUCAACGGAUAAAAGGUACUCCGGGGAUAACAGGCUGAUACCGCCCAAGAGUUCAUAUCGACGGCGGUGUUUGGCACCUCGAUGUCGGCUCAUCACAUCCUGGGGCUGAAGUAGGUCCCAAGGGUAUGGCUGUUCGCCAUUUAAAGUGGUACGCGAGCUGGGUUUAGAACGUCGUGAGACAGUUCGGUCCCUAUCUGCCGUGGGCGCUGGAGAAUUGAGGGGGGCUGCUCCUAGUACGAGAGGACCGGAGUGGACGCAUCACUGGUGUUCGGGUUGUCAUGCCAAUGGCACUGCCCGGUAGCUAAAUGCGGAAGAGAUAAGUGCUGAAAGCAUCUAAGCACGAAACUUGCCCCGAGAUGAGUUCUCCCUGAGACUUUAAGUCUCCUGAAGGAACGUU
rnacentral:rRNA from 1 species